GAUGAAGAACGCAGCGAAAUGCGAUACUUGGUGUGAAUUGCAGAAUCCCGUGAACCAUCGAGUCUUUGAACGCAAGUUGCGCCCGAAGCCAUUAGGCCGAGGGCACGCCUGCCUGGGCGUCACACGUCGUUGCCCCCCCAUCUACUCCUUCGGGAUUGCGGGGGGCGGAUGAUGGCCUCCCGUGCGCCUCGUCGCGCGGUUGGCAUAAAUACCAAGUCCUCGGCGACGCACGCCACGACAAUCGGUGGUUGCGAAACCUCGGUUGCCCGUCGUGUGCGGUCGUCGCGCAUCGAGGGCUCGAAAAAAUUGCCGGGCUCCGGCUCGGCUUUCAACGCGACCCCAGGUCGGCGGGGUUACCCGCUGAAUUUAAGCAUAUCAAUAAGCGGAGGA
rnacentral:misc_RNA from 1 species